rnacentral:rRNA from 1 species
GACAGAGGAUGCAAGCGUUAUCCGGAAUUAUUGGGCGUAAAGCGUCUGUAGGUGGUUUAUUAAGUCUACUGUUAAAGAUCAGGGCUUAACCCUGAGCAGGCAAUAGAAACUAAUAAGCUAGAGUACGGUAGGGGCAGAGGGAAUUCCCGGUGUAGCGGUGAAAUGCGUAGAGAUCGGGAAGAACACCAACGGCGAAAGCACUCUGCUGGGCCGAAACUGACACUGAGAGACGAAAGCUAGGGGAGCAAAUGGG